rnacentral:rRNA from 1 species
UUAAGCGACUAAGCGUACACGGUGGAUGCCCUGGCAGUCAGAGGCGAUGAAGGGCGUGCUAAUCUGCGAUAAGCGCCGGUAAGGUGAUAUGAACCGUUAUAACCGGCGAUACCCGAAUGGGGAAACCCAGUGUGACUCGUCACACUAUCAUUAACUGAAUCCAUAGGUUAAUGAGGCGAACCGGGGGAACUGAAACAUCUAAGUACCCCGAGGAAAAGAAAUCAACCGAGAUUCCCCCAGUAGCGGCGAGCGAACGGGGAGGAGCCCAGAGCCUGAAUCAGCAUGUGUGUUAGUGGAAGCGUCUGGAAAGGCGCGCGAUACAGGGUGACAGCCCCGUACACAAAAGCGCACGUGCUGUGAGCUCGAUGAGUAGGGCGGGACACGUGGUAUCCUGUCUGAAUAUGGGGGGACCAUCCUCCAAGGCUAAAUACUCCUGACUGACCGAUAGUGAACCAGUACCGUGAGGGAAAGGCGAAAAGAACCCCGGCGAGGGGAGUGAAAAAGAACCUGAAACCGUGUACGUACAAGCAGUGGGAGCACAGGUUUACCUGUGUGACUGCGUACCUUUUGUAUAAUGGGUCAGCGACUUAUAUUCUGUAGCAAGGUUAACCGUAUAGGGGAGCCGGAGGGAAACCGAGUCUUAACCGGGCGUUAAGUUGCAGGGUAUAGACCCGAAACCCGGUGAUCUAGCCAUGGGCAGGUUGAAGGUUGGGUAACACUAACUGGAGGACCGAACCGACUAAUGUUGAAAAAUUAGCGGAUGACCUGUGGCUGGGGGUGAAAGGCCAAUCAAACCGGGAGAUAGCUGGUUCUCCCCGAAAGCUAUUUAGGUAGCGCCUCGUGAAUUCAUCUCCGGGGGUAGAGCACUGUUUCGGCUAGGGGGCCAUCCCGGCUUACCAACCCGAUGCAAACUGCGAAUACCGGAGAAUGUUAUCACGGGAGACACACGGCGGGUGCUAACGUCCGUCGUGAAGAGGGAAACAACCCAGACCGCCAGCUAAGGUCCCAAAGUCAUGGUUAAGUGGGAAACGAUGUGGGAAGGCCCAGACAGCCAGGAUGUUGGCUUAGAAGCAGCCAUCAUUUAAAGAAAGCGUAAUAGCUCACUGGUCGAGUCGGCCUGCGCGGAAGAUGUAACGGGGCUAAACCAUGCACCGAAGCUGCGGCAGCGACACUGUGUGUUGUUGGGUAGGGGAGCGUUCUGUAAGCCUGCGAAGGUGGCCUGUGAGGGUUGCUGGAGGUAUCAGAAGUGCGAAUGCUGACAUAAGUAACGAUAAAGCGGGUGAAAAGCCCGCUCGCCGGAAGACCAAGGGUUCCUGUCCAACGUUAAUCGGGGCAGGGUGAGUCGACCCCUAAGGCGAGGCCGAAAGGCGUAGUCGAUGGGAAACGGGUUAAUAUUCCCGUACUUGGUGUUACUGCGAAGGGGGGACGGAGAAGGCUAUGUUGGCCGGGCGACGGUUGUCCCGGUUUAAGCGUGUAGGCUGGUUUUCCAGGCAAAUCCGGAAAAUCAAGGCUGAGGCGUGACGACGAGGCACUACGGUGCUGAAGCAACAAAUGCCCUGCUUCCAGGAAAAGCCUCUAAGCAUCAGGUAACAUCAAAUCGUACCCCAAACCGACACAGGUGGUCAGGUAGAGAAUACCAAGGCGCUUGAGAGAACUCGGGUGAAGGAACUAGGCAAAAUGGUGCCGUAACUUCGGGAGAAGGCACGCUGACACGUAGGUGAAGUGAUUUACUCAUGGAGCUGAAGUCAGUCGAAGAUACCAGCUGGCUGCAACUGUUUAUUAAAAACACAGCACUGUGCAAACACGAAAGUGGACGUAUACGGUGUGACGCCUGCCCGGUGCCGGAAGGUUAAUUGAUGGGGUCAGCGCAAGCGAAGCUCCUGAUCGAAGCCCCGGUAAACGGCGGCCGUAACUAUAACGGUCCUAAGGUAGCGAAAUUCCUUGUCGGGUAAGUUCCGACCUGCACGAAUGGCGUAAUGAUGGCCAGGCUGUCUCCACCCGAGACUCAGUGAAAUUGAACUCGCUGUGAAGAUGCAGUGUACCCGCGGCAAGACGGAAAGACCCCGUGAACCUUUACUAUAGCUUGACACUGAACAUUGAGCCUUGAUGUGUAGGAUAGGUGGGAGGCUUUGAAGUGUGGACGCCAGUCUGCAUGGAGCCAACCUUGAAAUACCACCCUUUAAUGUUUGAUGUUCUAACGUGGACCCGUAAUCCGGGUUGCGGACAGUGUCUGGUGGGUAGUUUGACUGGGGCGGUCUCCUCCUAAAGAGUAACGGAGGAGCACGAAGGUUGGCUAAUCCUGGUCGGACAUCAGGAGGUUAGUGCAAUGGCAUAAGCCAGCUUGACUGCGAGCGUGACGGCGCGAGCAGGUGCGAAAGCAGGUCAUAGUGAUCCGGUGGUUCUGAAUGGAAGGGCCAUCGCUCAACGGAUAAAAGGUACUCCGGGGAUAACAGGCUGAUACCGCCCAAGAGUUCAUAUCGACGGCGGUGUUUGGCACCUCGAUGUCGGCUCAUCACAUCCUGGGGCUGAAGUAGGUCCCAAGGGUAUGGCUGUUCGCCAUUUAAAGUGGUACGCGAGCUGGGUUUAGAACGUCGUGAGACAGUUCGGUCCCUAUCUGCCGUGGGCGCUGGAGAACUGAGGGGGGCUGCUCCUAGUACGAGAGGACCGGAGUGGACGCAUCACUGGUGUUCGGGUUGUCAUGCCAAUGGCACUGCCCGGUAGCUAAAUGCGGAAGAGAUAAGUGCUGAAAGCAUCUAAGCACGAAACUUGCCCCGAGAUGAGUUCUCCCUGAGACUUAAAGUCUCCUGAAGGAACGUUGAAGACGACGACGUUGAUAGGCCGGGUGUGUAAGCGCAGCGAUGCGUUGAGCUAACCGGUACUAAUGAACCGUGAGGCUUAACCUU